ensembl:lncRNA
GGGGGGGGGGGCCGCUUACAAGGAACAAAGACUAGAGUCUCAAUUGCGUUCUGUGAAGCGUUUGUGACAACAAAGUGUUCUUCCCUCGCCCCUCCCUCCUCGCCCCUCUUUGCCCCCUGGGGCCCCCCGGAAACCCCGCGCCCCGCGCUCCGGGCGGGUGUAGGUGGGGGCGGCCGAGCCAAGCCCACCCAUUCGCCCGCCAGGCCGGGAGCCCAGGCCCAGCUGUGGCUCUCUCAGCUCCGGAAAGUUUCCCCUCACUGUUUGCUUUGCUGCUGUUUAGUUUCUUAACCUUCAGAAAUUUAUACGCUAUAAACUUUUAUAGCGGUCAUAUUCUUUUAUUGCUGCGCACACGGCAUUGAAUUCCUCUCCCGGCUUCUCUCUGGCUCGCACUCUCCCGGUCCCCCUCUCUGAAUCUCUCUCUUUUAUUACAGCAGAUUUCCCCAUCUCCGGCUUCCGAGCCUCUGCAUCUUCGUCUUUGUUUGUCUUUAAAGAAGCCACCCGGGGCUGGGGACCCAGACGCCGCCGCCUGAGGCUUCCCGGGGCGCCCUCGCCCCCCUACCCGGCAGCACUCCGUUCAGUUCCUGCCUCUCUUUUUGCGUUUUCCUUUUGGCGGAAUCUGGCCUUCUCAGCUCCUUCUCAGCUCAGGCUGGCUCCUGGGAGCCCAGGAUGGGGAGGGAGCCGAGUCUACGCAAGCUCUAAAGGCAGAUUCACUUGAUAUACCGACUGGAACCCUCGGAGGAGGACGCGGGUUGGGGCCCCGGCGUACCAGGAGCUUCGCGUUCUCCUGCCUCCGGCUGUCUCUCCGAUUUUGCGUUCGCUGGAGAGGGGUAGGCCUGGCCUUUUCGCUUCCAGGCCGAUUUCACAAGGGCCAGGCUUUGUCCCCACCUCUAUCCCAACCUCAGGGUCUCCGCGGACUGCAGCGCCGUUGGGUGGGCCCGGUGGGAGGCUCCAGCAGGAGACCGGUGCCCAAGAGCCAGCCCGGCAGAAGCGGAAUCCCAGCGCCUGGAUGAGAACCGCCUGGCGGCCGACAACAGCGCUCCUCAUCUGAGGCUUUGGUGGUGGACCCGCAGUCUGAGAGGGACAAAAAGUCUCCCAGCCCUCCUGUUGGAAGGUUCUUCUCAGUUUAAGCAGAGGUCCUGGGUCCAGACCAGCUCUCAGCUCCUGCAGGAAGCCCACCCUACAAAGUCUAAGGAGAAAUCUCUUGG